GCUAAUGUGGCUCAGUCAGUAGAGCAGGAGACUCUUAAUCUCAGGCUUGUGGGUUCGAGCCCCACGUUAGGCA